GAUGAACGCUGGCGGCGUGCCUAAUACAUGCAAGUCGAGCGAAUAGAUUAAGAGCUUGCUCUUAUGAAGUUAGCGGCGGACGGGUGAGUAACACGUGGGUAACCUGCCCAUAAGACUGGGAUAACUCCGGGAAACCGGGGCUAAUACCGGAUAACAUUUUGAACCGCAUGGUUCGAAAUUGAAAGGCGGCUUCGGCUGUCACUUAUGGAUGGACCCGCGUCGCAUUCGCUAGUUGGUGAGGUAACGGCUCACCAAGGCAACGAUGCGUAGCCGACCUGAGAGGGUGGUCGGCCACACUGGGACCGAGACACGGCCCAGACUCCUACGGGAGGCAGCAGUAGGGAAUCUUCCGCAAUGGACGAAAGUCUGACGGAGCAACGCCGCGUGAGUGAUGAAGGCUUUCGGGUCGUAAAACUCUGUUGUUAGGGAAGAACAAGUGCUAGUUGAAUAAGCUGGCACCUUGACGGUACCUAACCAGAAAGCCACGGCUAACUACGUGCCAGCCGCCGCAGUAA
rnacentral:rRNA from 1 species